rnacentral:rRNA from 1 species
UGGGGGAUAUUGCACAAUGGGCGAAAGCCUGAUGCAGCGACGCCGCGUGGGGGAUGAAGGCUUUCGGGUUGUAAACCUCUUUCGCUAUCGAACAAGGCCCGCUUAGGGUGGGUUGAGGGUAGGUGGAGAAGAAGCGCCGGCUAACUACGUGCCCGCAGCCGCGGUAAUACGUAGGGCGCGGGCGUUGUCCGGAAUUAUUGGGCGUAAAGGGCUUGUAGGCGGCUUGUUGCGCCUGCUGUGAAAACGCGGGGCUUAACUUCGCGCGUGCAGUGGGUACGGGCAGGCUUGAGUGUGGUAGGGGUGACUGGAAUUCCAGGUGUAGCGGUGGAAUGCGCAGAUAUCUGGAGGAACACCGAUGGCGAAGGCAGGUCACUGGGCCAUUACUGACGCUGAGGAGCGAAAGCAUGGGUAGCGAACAGG